rnacentral:lncRNA from 1 species
GAAUUCGUUACAGAAACUCAGCCCACUCGAGCAGCAACAAAAAGAAAAGAGAAGGCGGAGGCUAGAUAUGUAACAACCCAAAAUCCAGGUAAGCUUAUGGCNGAAGGCGGAGGCUAGAUGUUGGGAACCUUUGGAAGCGUUAGUGUUGGGACAAUCUUAGAUCGAUAUUUCAGAAGAUGUAACGGUUGGAAAAUACCAAAAGCAUGACCGCUUUUGGAUUCGCAUUUUACACAGGUUCCAUAAAGGAAUGAACCGUGGACAAUACCGUUCAAAACAUC